rnacentral:rRNA from 1 species
CUAAGCGUGAAGUGAAGCACAUAAACCUGCUGAAUUUAAGCAUAUAAGUAAGUGGUGGAAAUUAAACCAACUGGGAUCUCUUCAGUAAUUGCGCAUGAACCAGGAUAUGCUUAGCUUGACAAAUGGAGCUGCUGGCUCUGAAUUGUAUUGUGGGAAUGUAUUACCAACAGAGGUGCAGGUGUCAGCCAUUUGAAAGAAAGCAUCAAUGAGGGUGAGAGUCCUGUUUGUCAUGUGCAGCCUUCUGUGCACGGUGUAUAUUUGCUGAGUCACACUCCUYGGCAUUGGAAUGCAAAGUGGGUGGUAAGUUUCAUGCAAAGGUAAAUAUGCAAUUGAGACUGAUAGCGCACAAGUACCAUGAGGGACAUAUGAAAAGGACUUUGAAMAGAGAAUUAAAUGAGUUUGUAUUUGCUAAACACAAAGUAAACAGACUUGAUUUCCUCAGUGAGAUUGUAGUGMUUGCUURACAAUGGGUUUUGGCUGCAAGUGCAAUAAUUCUUGCUUUGUGUGCCAGUUUUUAUGUGGACAUUUGAUUACCUUUGCACAUGAAUGGUAAUUUUCCUGCGGGGUGUGGAUUGCAUAUGCAUGUAAUGAUUUGCAUGUUUGUUAAAUGUGUCUGGUGUAUUUGUUUGUGUCCUUGUCCUUGAGGUUGCUUUCUCCCUUGGGCUUACAUGCCCUGGCACACACAUUCUGGCAAAAUGCUUCUGCUUGACCC